GCGCUUUUGGAGCGGCCGAUGUCUGAUUAGCUAGUUGGUGAGGUAAAGGCUUACCAAGGCGUCGAUCAGUAGCUGGUCUGAGAGGACGACCAGCCACACUGGGACUGAGACACGGCCCAGACUCCUACGGGAGGCAGCAGUGGGGAAUUUUGGACAAUGGGGGAAACCCUGAUCCAGCCAUGCCGCGUGAGUGAAGAAGGCCUUCGGGUUGUAAAGCUCUUUCAGCCGGAACGAAACGGUCACGGCUAAUAUCCGUGACAACUGGCGGUACCGGAAGAAGAAGCACCGGCUAACUACGUGCCAGCAGCCGCGGUAAUACGUAGGGUGCGAGCGUUAAUCGGAAUUACUGGGCGUAAAGCGUGCGCAGGCGGUUUUGUAAGUCAGAUGUGAAAUCC
rnacentral:rRNA from 1 species